rnacentral:rRNA from 1 species
UUCAAUUUUUGAAGUUUUUCUAGCUUUUUUGUUGGGUGAAAUCAGUAUAAGAAGCUCUUUCCUCUUUAAAAAUUAGUAGGAACUAAAAAACUUUGAUUUAAAACCAGGAUUAGAUACCCUGUUAUUCUCAGUUAUUCUUAAACAGGGUAGUAAAAGUUGUUCUUCAAACCCAAAGAUUUUGGCGGCACUUUAUCCAAAUAGAGGAGCUUGUCCCUUAAUCGAUAGUCCUCGUUUUAUCUUUCCUUCAUUUGUAAAGCUUGUAUACCGCCGUUGUCAGAUUACUUUUAGAGAAUGUUUUCAAGUUAAAAGACUUUAUAACUUCAGGUCAAGGUGCAGUUUAUAUGGGGGUGGAGGUGAGCUACAGUUUUCUUUAGAAAAUACGGAUUCUAAGCUUUGAAGCUAGCUGAAGGUGGAUUUACUAGUAAAGUAAUUUAAGUAAA